rnacentral:rRNA from 1 species
GCUCUUUAAACCUGAUGAUGAUGACAGUAGCGUCAAAAGAAGUUCCGGCUAACUUCGUGCCAGCAGCCGCGGUAAUACGAAGGGAACUAGCGUUGUUCGGAUUUACUGGGCGUAAAGAGCAUGUAGGCGGAUUGGUCAGUUGGAGGUGAAAUCCCAGAGCUCAACUCUGGAACUGCCUUCAAUACUGCUAAUCUAGAAUCUGUAAGGGGGUGGUGGAAUUCCGAGUGUAGAGGUGAAAUUCGUAGAUAUUCGGAGGAA